rnacentral:rRNA from 1 species
AGAGGCUUAACACAUGCAAGUCGAGGGGCGUCAGGAAGAAAGCUUGCUUUCUUUGCUGGCGACCGGCGCACGGGUGAGUAACACGUAUCCAACCUGCCGAUGACUCGGGGAUAGCCUUUCGAAAGAAAGAUUAAUACCCGAUGGUAUAUCUGAAAGGCAUCUUUCAGCUAUUAAAGAAUUUCGGUCAUUGAUGGGGAUGCGUUCCAUUAGGUUGUUGGCGGGGUAACGGCCCACCAAGCCAUCGAUGGAUAGGGGUUCUGAGAGGAAGGUCCCCCACAUUGGAACUGAGACACGGUCCAAACUCCUACGGGAGGCAGCAGUGAGGAAUAUUGGUCAAUGGACGAGAGUCUGAACCAGCCAAGUAGCGUGAAGGAUGACUGCCCUAUGGGUUGUAAACUUCUUUUAUACGGGAAUAAAGUUAGGCACGUGUGCCUUUUUGUAUGUACCGUAUGAAUAAGGAUCGGCUAACUCCGUGCCAGCAGCCGCGGUAAUACGGAGGAUCCGAGCGUUAUCCGGAUUUAUUGGGUUUAAAGGGAGCGUAGGCGGAUGCUUAAGUCAGUUGUGAAAGUUUGCGGCUCAACCGUAAAAUUGCAGUUGAUACUGGGUGUCUUGAGUACAGUAGAGGCAGGCGGAAUUCGUGGUGUAGCGGUGAAAUGCUUAGAUAUCACGAAGAACUCCGAUUGCGAAGGCAGCUUGCUGGACUGUAACUGACGCUGAUGCUCGAAAGUGUGGGUAUCAAACAGGAUUAGAUACCCUGGUAGUCCACACAGUAAACG